rnacentral:rRNA from 1 species
GGUGGAGCAUGUGGUUUAAUGUGAUGCAAAGCGAAGAACCUUACCUGGUCUUGACAUCCAAAGAACUUUCCAGGGGUGGAUUGGUGCCUUCGGGAACGGGGGGACAGGUGCUGCAUGGCUGUCGUCAGCUCGUGUUGUGAAAUGUUGGGUUAAGUCCCGCAACGAGCGCAACCCUUAUCCUUUGUUGCCAGCGGUCCGGCCGGGAACUCAAAGGAGACUGCCAGUGAUAAACUGGAGGAAGGUGGGGAUGACGUCAAGUCAUCAUGGCCCUUACGACCAGGGCUACACACGUGCUACAAUGGCGCAUACAAAGAGAAGCGACCUCGCGAGAGCAAGCGGACCUCAUAAAGUGCGUCGUAGUCCGGAUUGGAGUCUGCAACUCGAUUCCAUGAAGUCGGAAUCGCUAGUAAUCGUGGAUCAGAAUGCCACGGUGAAUACGUUCCCGGGCCUUGUACACACCGCCCGUCACACCAUGGGAGUGGGUUGCAAAAGAAGUAGGUAGCUUAACCUUCGGGAGGGCGCUUACCACUUUGUGAUUCAUGACUGGGGUGAAGUCGUAACAAGGUAACCGUAGGGGAACCUGCGGUUGGAUCACCUCCUUACCUUAAAGAAGC